UACGUAGGGUGCAAGCGUUGUCCGGAAUUAUUGGGCGUAAAGAGCUCGUAGGCGGUUUGUUGCGUCGGCUGUGAAAUCCCGAGGCUCAACCUCGGGUCUGCAGUCGAUACGAGCAAACUAGAGUGUUGCAGGGGAGACUGGAAUUCCUGGUGUAGCGGUGAAAUGCGUAGAUAUCUGGAGGAAUACCGGUGGCGAAGGCGGCAUCCUGGACCGAGAUUGACGCUGAUGAGCGAAAAGCUAGGGGAGCAAACGGGG
rnacentral:rRNA from 1 species